GCCAUAUAAUUUUGUGUGGAGCCCCUACACUAAUGCCACUGGACAUACUUCUUUUUGCUGCCAGCAGUUAGUGACAUAAAACCAAUGGCUGAUUGCACAAACAAUAAAGAUGCAUAAAAAAUGCUUGAUGUCAGAUUUCUCAGGUUCCUGUAAACAAAGCAAAUUAGCUGCUUUAAUGAGAAAGUUUGGCAGACUGGGUGGGAAUAGAACCUGGGGUGUGAAACAAGGACACUUCUGUGAUGCCACAAUAUCCAUGUGCUUUUGGAAGUAACCGUUGCAGAUGUAAACGCUACUGAGGGUGAGCUUUGUGUUGUGCCAAGAACUAGGUCUUUAAAAAUCGGUUGUCAGUCCCUUUAAGGUGUGCCUACUGUGUGUCAUAUUGUGCACGUCACAUUGCAGCCAUCUGGUUCACUAAAGAUGCUUUCACAUUCCCACACCUAAGCAGUCUUAACGUGUCUCUGCCCUUUUAUUGCAGGUACACCUAGCAAAUGUGUACAUUGACGAGGAGUGGCACCUGCUCUAGUGCCAUGGCUAGGACUCCCUGUUCUGCAAAGAACUGGCGAAACUGGUGUGCGGAGUUCUGGCACUCAGGAUAGGAGCAUCACAGGGGCUCUUUGGUGGUGCUUCCUGAACGACCGCAAUUUCAUUGAGAAGCCGGCAUUGAGCCUCCAUAAAUUGGAAGCUGUGGACAGUAUCAUCGACAUUGUUUCAAAUUUGUUUGUGUAAUGUUUGUAACAAUACAUGUAUUACAGUGAAAUGAUUAAUUUUCCAGAUGCACUUGAUGCAUAUCUUUCGAGAUGUGGUGCCCCUGAGGAGGAGAAAUCGCGGUGCUCAAAAUGGACCGUAGCCUAGCAGACAUGCUGAGAGAAAUUAAAUAACACAUGGGCAAGAAAGAAUCAAAAACCAGUUGAGAGAUUGUGCUUGCGUCGUCCAUUUCUUCCUUGCCUCUGCUUAUGCAAUAAAUUUAUUUUCUACAAAGCA